CUGCCUUCUUUCAGGUCAGCUGCCUCUGAUGCCCAACAGGCCAGCAACAGGAUAGGAUUUGGAGAAACCAUGAGAGCCCCAGUUUCCUGAGCCUCAUUUGUGGUUGUGGCAGACGAUUGAGAAGAGGAAGUAUGAAUUGCAGUGAGAUGCAGUGGGAAAGAAAGAAUUCAUACCAUCAGGAUGACCUCUGCUGUUGAUGUAUUCUUGCCUACACAGGUCAAGAUUAAUAAAGAAAAUACAAUGUAAGAAGAAGGAGAAUCAGCAACAAAAGUGGUUACUGUCUUUCUUCAAUGAAUACAGCAAUUUCAGAAAGAAUCGCCUCUUUCUUCAUGGUGUGCCAGAACAUUGGUACUUCUGGAGGGCGACUUGA
rnacentral:lncRNA from 1 species